CUUUGAUCCAGAGAUUUCCGAAUGGGGAAACCCAGCAUGAGUUAUGUCAUGUUAUCGAUAUGUGAAUACAUAGCAUAUCAGAAGGCACACCCGGAGAACUGAAACAUCUUAGUACCCGGAGGAAGAGAAAGAAAAUUCGAUUCCCUUAGUAGCGGCGAGCGAAACGGGAAGAGCCCAAACCAACAAGCUUGCUUGUUGGGGUUGUAGGACACUCUAUACGGAGUUACAAAGGACGACAUUAGACGAAUCAUCUGGAAAGAUGAAUCAAAGAAGGUAAUAAUCCUGUAGUCGAAAAUGUUGUCUCUCUUGAGUGGAUCCUGAGUACGACGGAGCACGUGAAAUUCCGUCGGAAUCUGGGAGGACCAUCUCCUAAGGCUAAAUACUCUCUAGUGACCGAUAGUGAACCAGUACCGUGAGGGAAAGGUGAAAAGCACCCCGGAAGGGGAGUGAAAUAGAACCUGAAACCGUGUGCUUACAAGUAGUCAGAGCCCGUUAAUGGGUGAUGGCGUGCCUUUUGUAGAAUGAACCGGCGAGUUACGAUUUGAUGCAAGGUUAAGCAGUAAAUGUGGAGCCGUAGCGAAAGCGAGUCUGAAUAGGGCGUUUAGUAUUUGGUCGUAGACCCGAAACCAGGUGAUCUACCCUUGGUCAGGUUGAAGUUCAGGUAACACUGAAUGGAGGACCGAACCGACUUACGUUGAAAAGUGAGCGGAUGAACUGAGGGUAGCGGAGAAAUUCCAAUCGAACCUGGAGAUAGCUGGUUCUCUCCGAAAUAGCUUUAGGGCUAGCCUCAAGUGAUGAUUAUUGGAGGUAGAGCACUGUUUGGACGAGGGGCCCCUCUCGGGUUACCGAAUUCAGACAAACUCCGAAUGCCAAUUAAUUUAACUUGGGAGUCAGAACAUGGGUGAUAAGGUCCGUGUUCGAAAGGGAAACAGCCCAGACCACCAGCUAAGGUCCCAAAAUAUAUGUUAAGUGGAAAAGGAUGUGGCGUUGCCCAGACAACUAGGAUGUUGGCUUAGAAGCAGCCAUCAUUUAAAGAGUGCGUAAUAGCUCACUAGUCGAGUGACACUGCGCCGAAAAUGUACCGGGGCUAAACAUAUUACCGAAGCUGUGGAUUGUCCUUUGGACAAUGGUAGGAGAGCGUUCUAAGGGCGUUGAAGCAUGAUCGUAAGGACAUGUGGAGCGCUUAGAAGUGAGAAUGCCGGUGUGAGUAGCGAAAGACGGGUGAGAAUCCCGUCCACCGAUUGACUAAGGUUUCCAGAGGAAGGCUCGUCCGCUCUGGGUUAGUCGGGUCCUAAGCUGAGGCCGACAGGCGUAGGCGAUGGAUAACAGGUUGAUAUUCCUGUACCACCUAUA
rnacentral:rRNA from 1 species